rnacentral:rRNA from 1 species
UACGAAGGGUGCAAGCGUUACUCGGAAUUACUGGGCGUAAAGCGUGCGUAGGUGGUUUGUUAAGUCUGUUGUGAAAUCCCCGGGCUUAACCUGGGAACUGCGCUUGUGACUGCACAGCUAGAGUAUGGCAGAGGGGGGGUGGAAUUCCACGUGUAGCAGUGAAAUGCGUAGAGAUGUGGAGGAACACCGAUGGCGAAGGCAGCCCCCUGGGCCAAUACUGACGCUCAUGCACGAAAGCGUGGGGAGCAAACAGG